rnacentral:rRNA from 1 species
GAAAGAAGCCCUGUUGAGCUUGACUCUAGUCUGACAUUGUGAAAUGACUUAGGGGGUGUAGCAUAAGUGGGAGCUGUGGUGAUCUUGAAAUACCACUACUCUUAAUGUCAUUUUACUUAUUCUGUGAAGCUGGGGCUUACUUGAUUGUAAUUUUUUGAACUAAGGUGGUUUUCGGGAUUGCUGUUUUAUGUGGAAGACAUCAUCAGGUGGGGAGUUUGGCUGGGGC